AGUGAACGCUGGCGGUAGGCCUAACACAUGCAAGUCGAACGGCAGCACAGUAAGAGCUUGCUCUUACGGGUGGCGAGUGGCGGACGGGUGAGGAAUACAUCGGAAUCUACUUUUUCGUGGGGGAUAACGUAGGGAAACUUACGCUCAUACCGCAUACGACCUACGGGUGAAAGCAGGGGAUCUUCGGACCUUGCGCGAUUGAAUGAGCCGAUGUCGGAUUAGCUAGUUGGCGGGGUAAAGGCCCACCAAGGCGACGAUCCGUAGCUGGACUGAGAGGAUGAUCAGCCACACGGGAACUGGGACACGGUCCAGACUCCUACGGGAGGCAGCAGUGGGGAAUAUUGGACAAUGGGCGCAAGCCUGAUACAGCCAUACCGCGUGGGUGAAGAAGGCCUUCGGGUUGUAAAGCCCUUUUGUUGGGAAAGAAAAGCAGCAGGUUAAUACCCCGCUGUUCUGACGGUACCCAAAGAAUAAGCACCGGCUAACUUCGUG
rnacentral:rRNA from 1 species